rnacentral:rRNA from 1 species
UACGAAGGGGGCUAGCGUUGUUCGGAAUUACUGGGCGUAAAGGGCGCGUAGGCGGCGUGUCAAGUCAGGCGUGAAAGCCCCGGGCUCAACCUGGGAACCGCGCUUGAGACUGGCAUGCUCGAGUUCGGGAGAGGAUGGUGGAAUUCCCAGUGUAGAGGUGAAAUUCGUAGAUAUUCGGAAGAACACCAGUGGCGAAGGCGACUCACUGGCCCAUUACUGACGCUGAGGCGCGAAAGCGUGGGGAGCAAACAGA